GUCAAACUGGUGACAACUUCAAAUGAAUACAAAAUAAAUUUUCCGAUUUGCACCAAUUUUUACCGUUCCCGAGUCAGAUGGUAAGACACGUCAAAUCAUUGAUGCCCAAAUCACAUCUCCGACAUCUGCAUCUUCACUCCACCUAACGAAUUCAAUUAGCUCGGGCUCGUUGUCGCUGAUAACGCACCGUAGCGUUUCUUUUGAGCGUUUUCAACCGACUUUAAUCAGGGGUGAGUGACUGCAGCAGCUGUAACGGUUGUAUUUCG